GACAUCUUUGGAAAGGGUCCAACCGGUUUUUGCCAGUUAUGACCUGAUGGACUGUUGGACAUCGUCUGAUUGUGAAGUAAAGUAAUUAUGAUACGUCAUUCAACUGCUGCACUAAGUUUCUUUGGUUGAUUGCUGUGUCUACAGUCCUCAAUGUUAAAGUUUCUUUGUGCUUCUUCAGAAGAGCAUGCACAGCACAUCUGGAAAC